rnacentral:rRNA from 1 species
UACGAGGGAUGCAAGCGUUAUCCGGAAUUAUUGGGCGUAAAGCGUUUGUAGGCGGGCGAGUGUGUUUAAUGUUAAAUCUUAAAGCUCAACUUUGAAAUUGCGUUAAAAACUGCUUGUCUUGAGUAUGGUAGGGGUAAAGGGAAUUCCCAGUGUAGCGGUGAAAUGCGUAGAUAUUGGGAAGAACACUAAACAGCGAAGGCACUUUACUAGGCUAAUACUGACGCUGAGAAACGAAAGGUAAGGUAGCGAAACGGAUUAGAUACCCGUGUAGUCUUACCCGUAAACUAUGGACACUAAACGGUAAAUUUUUAAUUUACUGUUAAAGCUAACGCGUUAAGUGUCCCGCCUGGGGAGUAUGCUUGCAAAGGUGAAACUCAAAGGAAUUGACGGGGGCCCGCACAAGCGGUGGAGCAUGUGGUUUAAUUCGACGGUACACGAAGAACCUUACCAGGAUUUGACAUGCUAGAUAGUUGCUUGAAAGAGUAACGUGCCGUAAGGAAUCUAGACACAGGUGGUGCAUGGCUGUCGUCAGUUCGUGUUGUGAAAUGUUGGGUUAAGUCCCGCAACGAACGCAACCCUUGUCUUUAGUUAUUUUCUAAAGAGACUGCCUGUAAUAAACAGGAGGAAGGUAAGGAUGAGGUCAAGUCAUCAUGCCCCUUAUGUCCUGGGCUACACACGUGCUACAAUGGGAAAGACAAUGAGCUGCAAAUCUGUAAAUUUAAGCAAAUCUCUUAAACUUUCUCGUAGUUCGGAUUGUGGGCUGCAACUCGCCCACAUGAAGUUGGAAUCGCUAGUAAUCGCCAGUCAGCUAUAUGGCGGUGAAUCCGUUCCCGGGCCU